rnacentral:rRNA from 1 species
ACAGGGUAUUGCCCUAGUAACGGCGAGUGAAGCGGCAACAGCUCAAAUUUGAAAUCUGGCUCUUUUAGAGUCCGAGUUGUACUUUGCAGAGGGCGCUUUGGCUUUGGCAGCGGUCCAAGUUCCUUGGAACAGGACGUCACAGAGGGUGAGAAUCCCGUACGUGGUCGCUGGCUAUUGCCGUGUAAAGCCCCUUCGACGAGUCGAGUUGUUUGGGAAUGCAGCUCUAAAUGGGAGGUACAUUUCUUCUAAAGCUAAAUAUUGGCCAGAGACCGAUAGCGCACAAGUAGAGUGAUCGAAAGAUGAAAAGCACUUUGGAAAGAGAGUCAAACAGCACGUGAAAUUGUUGAAAGGGAAGCGCUUGCAGCCAGACUUGCUUGCAGUUGCUCAUCCGGGCUUUUUUGCCCGGUGCACUCUUCUGUAGGCAGGCCAGCAUCAGUUUGGGCGGUAGGAUAAAGGUCUCUGUCACGUACCUCCUUUCGGGGAGGCCUUAUAGGGGAGGCGACAUACUACCAGCCUGGACUGAGGUCCGCGCAUCUGCUAGGAUGCUGGCGUAAUGGCUGUAAGCGGCCCGUCUUGAAACACGGACCAAGGAGUCUAACAUCUAUGCGAGUGUUUGGGUGUCAAGCCCGAGCGCGUAAUGAAAGUGAACGGAGGUGGGAACCCGCAAGGGUGCACCAUCGACCGAUCCUGAUGUCUUCGGAAGGAUUUGAGUAAGAGCAUGGCUGUUGGGACCCGAAAGAUGGUGAACUAUGCUUGAAUAGGGUGAAGCCAGAGGAAACUCUGGUGGAGGCUCGCAGCGGUUCUGACGUGCAAAUCGAUCGUCAAAUUUGGGCAUAGGGGCGAAAGACUAAU